rnacentral:rRNA from 1 species
GACAGAGGGGGCAAGCGUUGCUCGGAAUUACUGGGCGUAAAGGGCGCGUAGGCGGGAUGGCAAGUCGGUCGUGAAAUCCCUCGGCUCAACCGAGGAACGUCGAUCGAUACUGCUGUUCUUGAGGAUUGCAGAGGAGACUGGAAUUCCCGGUGUAGCGGUGAAAUGUGUAGAGAUCGGGAGGAACGACCGGUGGCGAAGGCGGGUCUCUGGGCAAUUCCUGACGCUGAGGCGGCGAAAGCGUGGGGAGGCAAACGGG